UACUGCGGCGGCAGGAGGCGCAGCUGCCGGGGUUUGAGGUGACAAAACUGAGGCUUUGAGAAGUCCAAGAGAAUGCUUCUACUAAAUGGGAGCGGGAGCAGUCAAUUCAGGUAUAUGAUUUUUCAACUUCCCGUUCUGCCGAGGCUGCUGUACAUGGGAGCCCUGGGCCUCAAGCAUCAUCACAAGCCUCUUGGGAGUGUGUUGCCUGCUGCUGAGGAAAAAGAGUCGCUCAAGGCAAGAAGACCCAGAGCCAGCAAGACUGAAACAAAAAGCAAAGGAGUAGUGGCAGCUGUGACUGACUAAUUGAGUUGCAUCGAACUCUAUCACUUCUGAAAUUCUCAAAUCUCAUCUUUCAUCUGCCUGAGCAUAGGACCUGGCAGCAUCUAGCGGCGUGAUCCAGAGCCUGGUGGAGAGCUGGGAAGCUUGCAGCUCCUCUAAUUCUUACUGCUAUAAACCAAAGCUUUUAUUAAAUCCUUACAAGACAGAAUACAAAAUCCCGGCAUUGAAAGUUGGUGCUGGGGCCGCCCCCUUUGAGAAGCUGCUGCUCGUCAGCUGGGUCCCUGCUGCCCUGCAGGAAGCCAGGUGGCUGUGGCCUUGGCGUCCCUGGGCCCUGGUCGCCGCCGCCGCCAGCUCUGUCCGCACUGCUCCUCCUGCAAGCGGCAGGCCCGGGAAGGAAGAGUUAACCAGAAAUGGAGCGGCGCUGCUCCGGGGCAGGCAGCCUCGCCGCAGAACAGAGCAGCGUUCGUGCAAAGAGCCCUGGCCCUGCAUGAUCCCUGUGCCAUCGAGCAGACAGCAUCUCCCUGAGGUGAUUGGAUCAACUGCUUCGUGUCAGUGUCACCCAUGCUUGCUUCGGAGUUUCAAGGCCUUGAUCCUGGGAAAGGAAGUCGAGAAGGUGAUGAGGAGUCCAACCGCUCAUACCUGGACUCUGGGCCCAUCCCAUGCUACCUUGUGCAUCUCCUUUGCCAAGAUGCCCCUCUGCUGCCUGCCCAGGACACAAGUGGGUUACAGACUGACUUCAAGGUGGGUCCAGGUCAGGCCUCAGGCUCCAACCCUUCCCUGCCACAUCCACAGGGCUGAGGCUCUGGGCCUGGGACUCAGGACCUACAGUUUCCUUUUUGACUCUGUCCCGGGGAUGCACAUGUGGAUUAAAUUAGAGCAAUAUGUUUUUCUAACAGCAUCUUGGCUAAAAACCCAAGCAGAUAAAUGGAAACAAACCCAGCUUUAUGUGAAUGAAAAGGGGCUGAGGGGGGAGCCACUUCUGCCUGAAGCAUCGCAGCCACACAGCCGGCAGGGCUGCCCCCCCGCCCCCCUCCUCCCCCGGCCCCCGUCCAGCCUUGACCCCGGAAGCCCUCACCACGGGGCACCUUCUGCCGCCCAGCCCCCUCACCAGGCCCCUGCUCUGGCUGAACCGGCUUCCUGGCUUCCUGGCCCUCUCCAAACCCGCUCUGUGCCUCCCCAGCCCUUGGUGGUGGCUGUGCCCUCUGUGCAGGAUCCUCUCUCAAGUCCGCCUGGCGCUGUGGUGAAGGGUACACAUUCCAGAGUCACGUGGGCAGGUGGCUUACCUGGCUUAUGGUCAGUUUCCUCACCUGUGAGUGGGGAUGUUCACCCCCCCCCAACCCCACAGAGCUCAGGGAAGACUGAGGAAAUGAUGCUCUUAGCACGGCACCUGGGACACAGCUAACAUUUGCUGUGUGUCAUUGUCAUUAUCAUCAUCUUAUUAUUGUUAUUCUUCUUAUUGCUACCACCUCUCCAAUUCACCUGGCCUCUGUCUUUGCCCCACUGAUCACCUCCUUUAGAGGGGUCCUUUCCUCCCUACAGAAUUCCUUCUGCACCUCCCACUGAUGGUUUCUAGAAGGCAGGGGGCCCUCAGGGCAGGGGCCUCAUCAGGGUAGCAGCAGAGGUGAAGAGGGCGGGUAUUUGGGUAACAUUUGUUGGUAGAUGGGUUUGUGAUCAUGGGCUUUGUUGUUGGUUUUAAUGAGAGGGCAGAGUUGGCCAAGCUCUCCCACAAAGUCUGCCUGUAGCCAUCACUCCUAGGCCUGCUUAUAGGUCUUUCCUGGGGAGCUGGUCCCAGGGGCUCCCUGGGGAAACAGGUGGUAACUUCACACUACCUCAGGGACGGAUUAGUCCCCGGAUGAUGCAUGAGUCCAGGAGUAGUGUUUCGUAUUAUUUGAAGCCACUCUGUUUUGCAGAUGCUUUCAGGGCCUUUCACUGAAGGAGCCCCUCUGAGCAUGAGAGCAUUACUAAAAUCCUUGCUCCUCCACGGCCUUCUCCCCCACCCCCACUGGCUGCUUCCCCACCAGAAAGCCCCACUCACUUGGCAUCCCCCAACUGAGGUCUUUAAGAGGGAAGGGAAGGGGGCACACCUGGUCCCAAUGCUGAGGCACUUAGAUGAGUUCCAGGUGAGGCAAGGGUUCGGUAACUCUCAAGUGCCUGAUGUUACCUACAAAAGCCAACCCCUCCUCUCCUCCUGGCUCAGCGCUCUGCCUCUGCACUUCUCUUGCGGACACGCCAUGCUCUCCUGGAAGGCAGAGGCUGCAUCCAACUCCCCAUUAUCAUCCUCCCAAGACCUAGAACACGGUAGGUGCUGCGUACAUAGAUGCUGUGAAUGAAUGAGAAGGAGACAGGGAGUGUGAAGUAAUAGGAAAUUCACACUGGUGUCUGCCUUUGGUUCCUGGUGGGGGCUCCUGAAAAAUCCUGGUCAUUUCCUGGAUAAUAAGAGGGCCUUUUGUUUGGAGUUUCUUGGUGGCUCAGUGGGUUGGGGAUCCAGCAUGCGUGGUCGCUGCUCUGGCUCAGGUUCGAUCCCUAGCUGGGGAAAUUCUGUGUGCCGCGGGUAUAGCCGGGGGGGAAAAAAAAAAAGUGUCUUGUUGGAAUGAGGUGACUCUGGGGGGCUCCAGGAUGGUGCUGGUCCCUGGAAGGACCAAGCCAUGUUUAGAAGCUUGGAAUUUUCAACCCUGCUUGUGAUUCUCUUGAAAAGGAAGAAGGGCUGAAAAUGGAGUUAAUGAUCAUGCCAAUGUGAUGACGCCUCCUUAAAAAUCCCAAAAGUGCAGGGUUCAGAGACCUUUCAGGUUGGUGAACAUAUCCCCAUACUGGGAGGGUGAACCAACCUAACUCCAUGGGGACAAAAGCUCCUGAGCCUCCCAGAGCCCUACAUAUGCCUGUUGAUCUAUAUCAUGUCCUUUUAUAACCUGGUAGAUGGAGGGACCUGUUUUCCUGAGUUCUGUGAGCUGCACUAGCAAAUUAAUCAAACUCAAGGAGGGGCUCCUGGGCACCUCUGGUUUAUCGCUGAUGGGUCGGACGCGCAGGUGGCAACCAGGUCUUGUAACUAGCAUCUGAAGUGGGGUGGAGGGCGAAGCCACUGGGAUCUGCUGGUAGCUUCAGGUGGAUGGGGCAGAACUGAGGUAAACUGUAGGCCGUCCAGCUGGUGUUGCAGAACUGCUCGGUGUGGGAACUCUUCCCCCCCAUCUGGUGCCCAGAAGUGUUAGAAGUGGGGUGUGCUGUGUGAAAGGAAAGGAAAAAGACAGAAGAAGAGGAAGGAGCGAAUUUUCUUCCUGAUACGCACACAGAGGAGGAGGGCUAAGAAAAUGGCCAUGCAGAGUUCCUGUCAUGGCUCAGUGGUUAACGAACCCCGCUAGUAUCUCUGAGGACGCGGGUUCGAUCCCUGGCCUUGCUCGGUGGGUUAAGGAUCCGCUGUUGCUGUGAGCAGCUGUGGUGUAGGUUGCAGAUGCGGCUCGUAUCUGGCGUUGCUGGGGCUGUGGUGUAGGCGAGCAGCUGCAGCUCUGAUUGGGCCCCUAGUCUGGGAACCUCCAUAUGCCGUGGGUGCGACCCAAAAAAGAAAGAAAGAAAAUGGCAAUGCAGGUUUUUUCACCUUUAGGAUGUGUCACAGGAAGCUGGUUGAGUGAAAGAAAACGAGGGCCCUUGAUACCCCUCUGGGCAGUGAUCUUCACCAAGGGUGGCCCAUAGGGAAUAAACACCUUCUCUCACUCCAGUCUUGAGCUGGAGAAACCCCUGGGGGCUGGACCCGACUAGAAGCCAGAGACAAAGGAGCCCAUUGAUGUGGUCCUCACGGGCCAGCCUUGAGGGCAGAGAGGCAGGUGAAGAAGCAUCUGGAAGGGCAGAAGGAGUGUGCGAGGCUCUCCUGGGAAGCAGGGAUGUGGCCGCCGUGCCUCAGCACUGUUCUCUGAUGGGGACAAAAAGGGCUUUUCCUCAGCUUUGCGCAUCCUCUCCAGCUCAGAUUCCCACGCUUUUUCAAUUCCCCACAGAAGACGGUGCUCGAAGGUAAACCUCUGACCUCCCACCUUCCCACACCCCAGUCUGAAACAGGGGAUCAGAAGUCACAAGCUUAAAAUCACAGCCGGGCUUUCUCCCCAAGCUGGUUUGGGAUUAUCGAGGUCAGAGUGCAUGGGAAGGAAAAAAAGCAGAUUCCUCCCUUUUAGGAAAAUAGUUUACAGUCGAAGCUACUCUUAUCUGCAUGCUCUUUUUGGUGACAAAGGGCGGAUGGAAAAUCAGGGAGUCGUUUUCUUUCUUUUCUUUUACAUUUUUUUUUUCUUCUGAUUUGAUGCUGGUGUCUUAAGACUCUGAGUUUAUAUUAAACAUGUGAAAGUGCCAAACCUCAAAGCGAAUCCGUGGAGCCAAAGUAAGUGGAAUGGUAGCGGAGAAGAAAAACGAAGGCGAGGUUGUGAUGUGGCGGCGCAGGAGGCCCUGUGGGCCCGCUCAUCUCAAAUUCUGCAGUGCGGGCUGUGCGGGAUCACAGCGCAUCCCAGCACCGGCUCCGAUCUUGUUGCCACGGGUGAGACGGGCCGGGCGGCAGCAUCCCACACAUUCAAAAGACUUGAGUGGCUGGUGGGGGGCUUGGAUUGCCUUCCACCAGCCACACACGAAGUCUAGAGUCUGGGAGAUGUCUUCUCCCCCAGCACGGUCUCCUUCUAGCGCCAUAAAGUGGGGAGCCCCUCUGUAGCUUUCUUUUCCACUAUGCCGUCUCUCUAUAGAAACAUAGCUAGAUAGAUGGAUAGAUGGAUAAAAACUUGUCAUGUUGAUGUGUAUAGAUCCAGGUUAUUCAUUUUAAUUACUAAAUAUAUUUCAUUAUGUGACUAUACUCCAUUUUAUUUAUUCAUGGCUAAAUGAAUGGAAAUUU
rnacentral:lncRNA from 1 species